rnacentral:rRNA from 1 species
UACGGAGGGUGCUAGCGUUGUUCGGAAUUACUGGGCGUAAAGCGCGCGUAGGCGGCUUUGUAAGUUAGAGGUGAAAGCCCAGGGCUCAACCCUGGAAUUGCCUUUAAGACUGCAUCGCUUGAAUCAUGGAGAGGUGAGUGGAAUUCCGAGUGUAGAGGUGAAAUUCGUAGAUAUUCGGAAGAACACCAGUGGCGAAGGCGACUCACUGGACAUGUAUUGACGCUGAGGUGCGAAAGCGUGGGGAGCAAACAGG